UGCCCAACAACUAGCCCAUCUAAACAACUUCAACCAACCAACAUUUAUACCCCUAAACAUCCUUAAUAUCAGUAAACAAACCAUUUUAUUUCUCUAGUAUAGGCGAUAGAAAAAGACCUAGGAGCGAUAGAGAAAGUACCGCGAGGGAACGCUGAAAGAGAAGUGAAACAAAUCAGUUAAGCUUAACAUAGCAGAGACUGACCCUCGUACCUUUUGCAUCAUGAUUUAGCCAGUGCCUACCAAGCGAAAAGCAUUCUAGUUUGAUAACCCGAAACUAUGUGAGCUACUCCAAGGCAGCCUAUAAAAAUUAGGGCGAACCCGUCUCUGUGGCAAAAGAGUGGGAAGAACUUUGAGUAGAGGUGACAGACCUACCGAACUUAGUUAUAGCUGGUUGCCCGAAAAUUGGAUAAGAGUUCAGCCUCCCGGCUUCUUCACUCAACUAAGUUUUUGCUUUACACAUGACACAUAUUUUUUGAGAAACCGAGAGAGUUAAUUAAAGGGGGUACAGCCCCUUUGAUAAUAAAACACAAUUUUUACAGUCGGAUAAAGAUCAUAAAUCAACCCAAGGAUCAGUAUACUAGUGGGCCUGAAAGCAGCCAUCACCACAGAAAGCGUUAAAGCUCAUAUACACACCUCCCCCAAUCUCCUUUAAUCCCGAUCACUUUAUCUUAUUCCACUGAUCAUUACCGGGCCGUCCCAUGCCUCCAUGGGAGUGACCCUGCUAAAAUGAGUAAUAAGAAGGACAUCGUCCUUCUCCUAGCAUAAGUGUAAAUCGGAACGGACCCACCACCGAAUUCUAACGACCCCAAAACCAGAGGGCACUGGGCUAACAUAUUACUAGAAUACUAGAAAACCACCCAAAACCUAACCGUUAACCUUACACAAGAAUGCCUACUUAGGAAAGACUUAAAGAAAAAGAAGGAACUCGGCAAACACCUUAAGCCUCGCCUGUUUACCAAAAACAUCGCCUCUUGAAAACCAAAAUAUAAGAGGUUUCGCCUGCCCAGUGACACCAGUUCAACGGCCGCGGUAUUUUAACCGUGCAAAGGUAGCGUAAUCAUUUGUCUCCUAAAUAGAGACCUGUAUGAAUGGCCAAACGAGGGCUUUACUGUCUCCUUUUUCCUGUCAGUGAAAUUGAUCUCCCCGUGCAGAAGCGGGGAUAAUACCAUAAGACGAGAAGACCCUAUGAAGCUUUAGACCCUAAAAGAGACUAUGUCAAUCACCCCCCCAUUUUUAACGGGUAAAACUCAAUAGCUACUCUUUCAAUGUCUUUGGUUGGGGCGACCAAGGGGAAGUAAAUAACCCCCACGUGGAACGGGAGAAUUUCUUAAAAAUCCCCCUCCUACAACCCAGAGCUACAACUCUAAGUAACAAAACUCUUUUUGACCUACAUGAUCCGGCAAAGCCGAUCAACGAACCGAGUUACUCUAGGGAUAACAGCGCAAUCCUCUUUUAGAGCCCGUAUCGACAAGAGGGUUUACGACCUCGAUGUUGGAUCAGGACAUCCUAAUGGUGCAGCCGCUAUUAAGGGUUCGUUUGUUCAACGAUUAAAGUCCUACGUGAUCUGAGUUCAGACCGGAGUAAUCCAGGUCAGUUUCUAUCUAUGAAAUACUCUUUUCUAGUACGAAAGGACCGAAAAGGGGAGGCCCCUGCCACAAGCACGCCUCACCCCCACCCUUUGACAUCAACUAAAAAAGACAAGAGGGUGUAACCUCUAGCCGGGAAAAAAUCGGCAAA
rnacentral:rRNA from 1 species